AUGCCCGGCUCCGCUGUGUUGCUGAUCGGCGCCUUCGUGACCGCGCUUCUCGGCGUCUCCCUCUCCACCGUCGUCCUCUGCUCCAACCGGCGCCAGGCGCACCGCGCGUCGCCGUCACAGCGCAGCUUCGUCAACCUCGAGCUCGGCCUGGGGCGACCGCCGUGCGGGAUCAACGAGGCCGUCCUGGCCGCGUACCCGACCACGGUGUACUCGUCGUCUGCGAGGCGACGGGGCGAAGGCCAGAGCCAGAUGGCUGCUGCCGCCGCGUCGGCCGAUGGUGACCAGCGGCCCGAGGAGACGGACACGAACACGACAUGCGCGGUGUGCCUGGCGCAGUACGCAGACGGCGACGAGCUCCGGUGGUUGCCGGGGUGCAGGCACACGUUCCACCGGUUGUGCGUCGACGAAUGGCUGCGGCGGCGGCCGAGCUGCCCGCUCUGCCGCACGUAG
rnacentral:rRNA from 1 species